UAAUUUAAUGAAAAUAAAAAUAAUAAUAAUGAUAAAAUUGGGUAAAAAUAUUAUUUGGAUUUAAUUGAAAUUGAUUUUGGAAAAAAGGGGUGAAAAUUUGGAUUCUGGGGGUGUUUUUAAAAAGAAAAUCAGAAACCGGGGGUCAAAACUCAAUUUAGAAAAGUUGUGCCACGUCAGCAGCCCCGGCCAACCAGGACAGGCCGCGUGGCAAGGGAACGCUGACACGGGAAGGGCCACGUGGGCGAUCCGCGUGUGCGCGAUCGGACGGCCCAGAUCCGUUCUCGCGCGCACUGACGGCCCAGAUCAAACGUGCGCACGGACGGCCCAGAUUCACGCGUACGGACAGCCCAAAUUCAAUCAGGCAUGAACGGCCCAGAUUGCAUCGUGAUGGACGGUCCAGAUUUAAUCCCAAUUAAAUCGCGAUCGGACGGUUCAGAUUUAAUCUUGAUGGACGGUUGAGAUUAAAAGGCAAAGGGUAUAAAUAACCCCACCCACACCUAACCACAAAACCCUAGCCGCCAGUGCCUCGCCGGAGAAGAAGAACCAGAUGCCGGAGGAGCCGGCCGCCGCCACCCACCGCCGCACCGGAGAAGUUUUCGACCGCUAAUCGAGUUAAAUUUUCUCCCCCUGGCUCAUUUUUUGAUGUUAAGUCUGCCUAUGGCCAAACCAGAGCCAAACCACCGGUCAAACGGUCGAAAAACCCAGCCAAAGUCCGGCGGCACUGUCGCGACUCCCCUCUAUUUUUGCCUCCGAUGAGGUCCUUCCCGGCCUCCGUUCGAUGCAAAUUUUAUACCACUGUGAUCACCGUUCUUUUCUCUACAUAUUGAUCGGAGCCAAACAUCAAAACGCGACUCACGCCAGAGGAGCCGCCGCACCCG
rnacentral:lncRNA from 1 species